GACCUCGGCGAAAAUAGUAAUAAUAAUGAUGAUGAUGAUGAUGAUACCCACUCCCGGCACGGGGAGGUAGUGACGAAAAAUAACGACGCGGGACUCUGCCGAGGCCCCGCGAUCGGAAUGAGUACACUUCAAAUCCGUUAACGAGGAUCGACCGGAGGACAAGUCUGGUGCCAGCAGCCGUGGUAAUUCCAGCUCCGGUAGCGUAUAUUAAAAUUAUUGCUUUUGAAAAGCUCGUAGCCGGAAUUCGGGUCACGAAAACGUGCCCCAGCACGUUCGGGGCGACGGCACCGUCGCGGGCGCGCCUCGCGCGCGUCC
rnacentral:ncRNA from 1 species